UGCAGUCAUCAGCUGCGUGAUACGUCCUGCCCUUGUACACACGCCGUCGCUCUACGAUGAGUGAUCCGUGAGCUGUCCGACUGCGAUAGUCAGUUCUGUCUCUCGCGGGAAGUUCUGCAAACUAUCACUAGAGGAAGGAGAAGUCGUAACAAGGUUUCCGUAGGUGAACUGCGGAAGGAUCAUUC
rnacentral:ncRNA from 1 species